UACGUCUCACCAAUGGUACUUUCUAUUGGGAGAAGGUCAAAUGAUUCCGCAUGUCUGCCCGUGUGUGUACAUUCCCGAGAUGGUGCACGCCUGAUGAAGAAACACCCCUGAUACCUGAAUCGCGUGUCCGAAAAUGUUUGCGACCGUCUGAAGCGGCUCCUUCGCCUCGUGUCACCUUCUGAAAGUUUGAAAAGUCAACAUCAAACCUCGACCUCCCAAAGCCUCCGAGCAGGAGAAAGAAGACGCUGCCAAGAUGUUCAGCACCAAAAGGUCAGCACAAUGUCACUUUUGAUCUAUUCUUAUCCACUCAAAAAAAAAAAAAGCCCGGCAGAAAUCUCAGGGAAUUUUAAAAUGUCUUCUGCUGAUAAUUGCUGACAUUUCUGGUCAGCUAUGUUCCAUUGAUGACUUUGGAUUCCAAAAGACAUUGAUGUGAAGAAAGGUGAUGGUUGAUUUCAGGUCACAACAAACAAAUCAUUCCAUUUAGUUUAGUGUAAAAUCUGUGAAUUAUUCUCUGUUGAUAUUUUCAGCUACCGCAUUUCUAAUUAGGUAGAGCCCAGAGAACCUUUUGAGCUGAAGUUUAAAUACUCUCACAGCCUUUGUAGGACGUUUAGGAAACCCGGUUCUCAGUCUUUCCCAGCUUGUGUGUACAUUCUGUAUUUUUAAUGGGACUCGCGGUAGCGUACGUACGUACGUACAUCAUUAAUCACUUGACUGCAAGGUUGUAAGUGGUCACGUUGCUUAGCCAGUGUGUGUACGGUGGGUUAGGUGGAUCAAAACAAAGUGCGUUUGGUUGUUUCUUUGAUGUGAACCGGCUCACAGCUCGGGUUUGGUUUGUAUUUAAUUAUCUUCAGCACUGGAUACAUCACUGAGAACAGCCCAUUUAUUCUACCAUUGAAAACGCAAGUGAAUUUCUCUUGAAUAAUCAAUUCCAUGACUUCUGAAAGAACUGUACGUUUUUAAUCAAUACGGUUAUAAUGUGCAGUCUUAUUACCUUAGAAGCUCAUUUUGUUUUCCCAGCCUUCAGGUAUUUAACCGAGGGAGGUCCUGUGCAGAAACUACUGCUUGUGUGACUGUAGUUUUUCAACAGGAAAUGUUAAAUGUAUGUGUCCACAGCCCAAACUGUUUAUUUUUUAAUUUAUUCAGAUAUAUUUUGAAGUCUAGUGUUUAUUAGACUCCUUGUAUAUGACAGUUGAAAUCGACUGUAGUUUAGGCAAACUUUUCUGCCUAAAACCUGGUAUGAAAAUACACACAAAAUACGUCGGGGUGAUGUCUUUUUCAGAAACUCAAAAGCAUAAGAAAUUAAAAGUAAGGAUUAAACUGUGCGUUUGUCUGCUCUAACGUAAGCUUCAAAUGUUAGCAUGUCUGGCUAACUAUCUUACAAGCAACAGUGGUAACACUAGGGUUAUUUUCCAAGACCAAGAAUCAGGCUACAUUAUUAUUAUUACAAUAUAAUGAUAUCAAAUAAAUAGUGCACAGUGGAUGUGCCAUCUAUUUGCCCACUGCGUGAAAGCUGGUCGUGGAUGCUACUAUAUCAGAAUGUAGGGCAGCAUUAGCAGGUCUGUCCUGCUCUUUAUUGGAUUGGGUGAGGUUUACACAACGACAACCCCAUACAAACUCUAUCCCAGAUAGAGUUGCAUACCAAAAGACUGUAAACCGUUAGUCCACAUUUUCAAAGUAGUUCUGAUAGUUUUGCAACUGAUCAUUACAAGAUCAGCUUACAUUUGACCUUGUGUCUUCAAGCACACACACACACACACACACGCACACACACGCACGCACACAGGGUUGACAUCUGCAGCUAAGCCGAAACGGCUUCAUGUUGAUGGCAGAAGAAUCCACAGUGUAUAAUCCACACACACAUCACCGCUGUGUUAAUGCACAGGCUUACCGGGGCUCACGGUGUGUGUGUGCAUGUAUGUAUGUAUGUAUGCAUGUAUGUAUGUAUAUAGAAUCAUGAGUGAGUGCUGAUGCAUUAUUCCAUGCAAAUUAAGCGUGGCUGAUGUUUGUGCAGGAUGGACGGUGAAAUAGUUGAGUUGGUGCUUCGGGGGGGGGCCUAGAAAGCCCCGGGGCUCAUGGUUCUUCAAUGCGGCCUUGCACACUGUGAGAUUGAUAGACUAACAUCCACCGCUCCAAUCCUGAUUUGGCCAAGAUAUUGACUGCUCCUUUGGCCACACUGUGGUAGUCUUAUAUGGUCGUCACUUCAUAAAUAAGCCACAUGAGGCUUAUUGUAGAUAUUUGUUGUCUGUCCAGGACAAGAUAUCCACAAAAAGAAUAGGGUAAGGAACGUGUUCUGUUGUGAGAAAGCGGGGUAUAUGAGGAGGUUGAGGUAUCAUAAUGUGUGUGUGUGUGAGUGAGAGAUAUUGUGGUACUGUGGGUGAGAAGAUGAUUAAACCAAGCCAGCUCUCCAUCUUCAGGGAGCUGUGUCAGCACAGGCGAUGACACGAAUAUGCUCAAAAUGACUAUAAUAGGUUGCCAUCUUCAAAUUCAAAGACUCUAAAAGCUCAUUCACCGUUUCUGCUGAAUGUGGAACAAAGCGGUUUUUUUGUUGUUUUCGUCUCCCCCCUAAACUGCUGAAUGAAACAUAAAGCGGGCGAGGAAAUCUGUGUAGCUGUCGGGGAUCGCUAUGUGCUGCAGUGGCUUUAUUAUCUGUGGGUUUUUAAAAUUGGCUCUCCUCUUGGGCUCCCUCCAGUCGCCUCAAAUCACACUUGCAUACGACACGAGACCCAAAUUAAAAGUCUUUCAUUAAAAUGUAAUCAGUCAAAUGUCUGAGCAUAGCAGCCUAGUUUUGAUUUGAAUGGAAUGGAAGCGUGUGAUAAUAAAUCCAAAGCAUUGGCACGUCUUUGUGCUUCUCACUUUUUCUGUUUAGUGCUCUCUCCUCUGCUGAGCCGCCUCACCAUAAUGGAUAAACGGAGAGCGCGCGCAUCCACAGCGUGAUUGUUUGUGUGUACGCUCGCUCAUUAAAAUGGAACUGGAGUGCCGUUAAUCUGCGUCUUUCAUUCCGCAUGAGAACAUUUAUGAAGUGACGCACCAUAUCUUUGAUUUGGGUUGCAAAUUGAAACUUUCUUGUCGGAGACGCUUCUGCCUGCGAGCAUAAAUCUGCGAUUUGUAACUUAUUUUUUAUUUUCUUGUCUUAAAUGUUAGUUGGCUUCUUCGUGGUGGGCGUUGAUAUUUCUUUUGUUUUGCCUCAUCGGUAACAAGUUGCGGUGUAUUCCACCACGAUUGAAGAUUUUAUACGAUUUAAGAGUUUUUAUUUGUGUAAGUCGAAUUAUGGCAACCUGUACAGCUGUGUCAGUCUCAUGCACACUUGCCGCCAUUUUUCAUGGAUGUAGUUAAUGUAGAUGGUCAUGUCGGAAAAUGAUGUCCCUGUUCUUUAUCCCACCUGUAAAGCUUUUAUUGGUCCAUUUGUUUUUUUCCAACCAGCAGAAAUAACAGUGGGCCCAACACCGUACCUAUCUGAACAGCUCAAUAGAUAUCUCAUCCCUUCCUCCCACAACCAACAGUCACUCAACUGCUUUGUUUAGUAAUACAAGCGGUUGCAAACUCUGUUAAGCCACAUUAUCAAAACCUAAUGAAAAUGAAUGCUCCUCAACUGUCAGAUAUGAUCAUCCACUGCACUGUCAAAUGUCAUGUGCACCAUUUUCAUCAUUACACCAAAUAUCAACAUUUGCCUUCAUUUUCACUUCCCAGAAGUUCAAACCGUGGGAUGUUUACAACCGCCGAAGUUCCAAAAAAUUGAUGCAUUGUAAGUAAACAGGUUAUUCCCUUCACACUGCUGACUGGAGGCAGUUUUGGAGCAGCUCCUUCACAGGUCUUUCAAGGUUUGUUCGAUGCCUAGUUUUUCUCCCAGCCAAAAGGUUUCAUACAUGGCUCCUGGCUUCUUAUUUUGUGGACCAGUGUGGGAGGAUAAGACCUAGAGGAAUGUUGUCACCAUGUUGUUAACUCUUGACUUGUUACUAUUCUACGUGCCAUCUAAACAGAUAGCAGUAACUGUACUGCUUGUGGUUCAUGUUCUGUGACACUACUUGUUCAGCUUCCACCUGGAAUGUUGCGGACGUCGUCUAACUCCACCACGCGACACAGCCUCAGUCCGACCCAGAUGAAGUCACUCAGCGCUGUCUUCCCGGGCUGUGGAGGUGUUUGCUCGGAUGGCUGUUGCAGAAAGUAAUUUGGUUUCCGCCCGUGGUUGUCAGCUGUGCGGGGUCAUCAAUACAAAGUAGUUCCUCCCAGCUGUUUUUUUGGAAACUUACCCGGACAGGAACAGGAAAUGACUGUCGCGCCGGCAGCGGCUCAGACGGAGAUCAAGGUGCGAAGGUGUCUCAACCGUAGCCAGUAAUUGCCCUCAGUGGGAGCUGUAAUGAAAUUACCACAAUAUGAGUUGGACCCAUUAGCGAUAAAAUGGUGGACCUGACCUCGCCCAAAUCUCUCCACAGCUUUUCCCACAUUUGAUCUGACGGAGUUAAUGUUUAAUGUAGCCUGACUGCGAUGCGGGAUGCCCCAUUAUAGUGACACUGUGGAAAGGUGCCUUCUUGUGUCCGCUGAUACUUUCUCCCUCCGCUUCAGUGGGUGACUCAUCACAAACAAUCCAAAACAGCAAAGAAAGUAAACGCCUGUAUCCCUGCCUGCACCUCUGCCCUCAUCUUUAAAGCCAUCAAUGUGUCACAUAUUUAGUAUUGUAGUGAAGCUUCUGAUGGCAAGCAAGUAAUUACAGUCUUAACAAAAUAUCAGAUCCGACAUUGACCCCCCCACGUCUCCCGACCUUCAUAAGGAGUAAUUGGAUAUCUGACUGUCUGUAGCUCUGAGCUGGUGAUCGACAUCAAUGGGCUUGCACUUGAUUACUUAUGCAUGCAGGGGGAAGAGAAUGGUGUCUGGGGGGGGCAGGCAGAGUGCAUGCUAGGAUGUGUUAACCCCCUGCGAGGGGCCUGCUGAUCCAAUCAUGAUGAACAGGCUGUCACACCGACGCCGCACGCCGACUCUCCUUGGGCCGACCUUGAAGGGUUUGCAACAGCGUCGCUGCAACUCAUUCAAAGAUGAACUCUCUUGCACUUUGAGGACUUGGUAAUGUAAUAAACAUUAGGUUGGGCUCUACAUGAUUGAUUUUAGUUGAAUACCAAGCAAGUUUCUGCAUUGGAUUAUGGUGUAUACUUGGCCACAGAUGGUAGUUUGUGAGCGGCUGGCAGAUGUCCAUUAUAAUAACAUGACACCUCAAAAACCCCGGUCAGUAUUUUGACCAUCUUUUGUACAGCAGUGCACAAGGUACUAAUAAACAGUAGCAACAGUACCUUUAGAUUGUACUACAGAGAAACUCUAGCUCAUACAACCUCGGACGGAUUCCUAGGAAAGCGGCGACUUCACAAAAAGGACAAAGAACGGGACAAAGAACACAAGUAGUCAGAUGAUAUAAAAAAUUGUGUACAAACAUGUAGAUUAGUCAUACUUUUCGUUAAAUGAGAAAACAAAACUGUCCAUUAAUAACAUCAAUUCCUUAUUCAACGUUCUACUACAACACUGUACUUGCCACAGUUGGUUUCCACUUAUUAUCCAACGUAUGAAAUCACUUCCAAUUUGACAUAAUGCCCUAUAUUUACUGUCCGCCAUUUUAUUUGAAUGUCUGAAAUAUUUGCUCUGGAAUCUAUGCACCAUGUAGUGCCUGCAAACGUUUGUAGAGUGAAACAAAAAAGUAGCACGUGUUGCAUAGACAUUCUGCUGACAACGUGACAAUGACAUAUGUCACAUGAUGCAAACUGGUGAUGAUUCAACUGUCCGAAAUCACAAUUUAAUGCUGACUGUAGACCUCUUUAUUGCCAUCCUAUUGCUGGGACAACAGCUUUGGUCCAAGUUUACUUCCUGUCAGCUACUGCAUUAGCAAACAUUGCAGCAGGAUGCACAGAGGGGCCCAUUUAGAACGUUAAUGUUGUCAAGUUUGAAAAGGUCUUCAGAGUAAACUGUUGAGUGACUGUAGGUAAUGGUGAACGAAGGAGUGACACAGCACAUUGGGUGUUUUCCUUUAGGAUUUGUUUUAAUUUAAGUGAUAAAUAAAAAAAUAUAUUCGACCCAAUUUGUAAUAAAGCUGCUGAAUUGAUAACCGACUGCAAACACACCUGAAUCAAUACGUGAUGACGUUUACUGCACCUGUGGUAAGUGACCAUAACUAGACACACAUUGAUGAUGGAUGGAUGGAUAGAUAGGAACACUCGGAUGUGGUCUCAAUCAAGGUACUGUCAGUGCAGCUAUGGUGGUGGUUAACGUCAAAGGUAGUUGUCGGGUUUUGGUGUCGGACCUUAAUUGAUAAAAGAGCAAGUGCCUCUCUCUAGACUCCCCAUUCAGCUCAGUUGUUCAACAAUCAAAUGAUGAGGAAUCCGUCAGAGAAGAGCCUCAGACGAACAUGGAUCAGAAUGCACUGCAGCUCCAAGACGUGUCGUCUUUUGUGUAAGCCAGAGCGAAAGAGGAAGAACUAAUUAAUACCUCUCUUUGAGUAUUACCAUCUUCACCAAUAUGCAAAAACACAUGAAUACAAAACCCAUUCUGUUGGACAAAGACAUUGAGAUGGAGGAAAUCAUGCAGUGAAGUACAAGUCAAUGGGUGGGGGGAGGAGAGAGUCUGGUCACACUAAACACUGUAUCAUAAAUAACAUCAUAACUGUAUGCAGGCCUUUAGAUGGCCUCUGUGUGUGUGCUGCUGGAGCCUCUUUUCUUAUUGGAGCCAGCAAAAACAAUGUGGAUCUAAUCAGUCUCACGGUCUGUACCGCCACCACUUAGUUCAUCGAUGCAGACGUCUGCAGCUUUUUGAUCAAGCAGACUUGGAUGCAGCAGGUCCUGGACAUAGGAAGUCCCCGCAUCAGUAAUGGAGCCGGAGGACCACUAAAACUCUGCAGGAAGGCGAUGAGGAGAGGGCUUUCUGCUGACUCUGGAAAGAGGGAGGUAUCAAAUGUCAAGGGAUGCAUUAAUUCCACUGUUUCUUUCAUGAGCCUAAGCAGAGCAAGACUGGAUAAAUAAGCAGGAAAAGGUUUUGCACGUGUCAGUGUUUGUGCACCGCAUUUAUAUUUAUAUAUUUAUAUAUGCUCUCAGAAAAGCCAGAUGUCAUUGAAAUCCCAUCUUUUCAUUGAAUGUUGACAUUAAAUGUGUUGAUUCAUCCGCUCUCACUGCACGAUGUUCAGUCUAACUUCUCUUAUUGAUCGAGGGGCAGUCGACUCAACCACUCUAUUGAUUUUGCGUGCUAUUUAAAGGAGAUUUUGUUGGUCGAUAAUCAGUGGCCAGAGAUAAGAUCCCAGCUCCCCUCUGUGCGCUCUGACAUGCAGGUCACCGGUCGAGCCUUACAGCCCCUGCACUGAACGCCGUCGCAGUCGGUUGGUUUUGUCCAUAAGGUUAAGUCUGUUGUUGUGUUUGUGGAUGGAUGAGGCAAGUCUACAGCUUACUGCAGGUUGUUUGUGGCAGUAUUUAAGCCUUAGCCUCGUGUGCUACUUUCUCUCCUCUAAUCGCCAGUGGGAUAAACACCACUACCAUGACAACGGAUGUAUGUUGUGGCUGUCUGAAACACAUUGCCCAUUUUAAUAAAGUUAAAGCAAAACUGAAAAUCGAUUGUAUCGCAGUCCUACGACAACCUGGUGCCUACAUUACCCACAAUGCAACGCGAUCACCGACAGUUGGGUUGGAGAUUUGGCCGUGUUAUGCUAGUAGUGACCGUUUUUUUUUUUUUUUUUUUUUUUUUUUUUUUUUUUUUUUUUUUUUUUGAGGAAAGAAGGCUUUAUUGAACUAGCGUAAUAUGCUAAUAAUAAUACAUUAGCAACAUUGGCAUUAAUUGGAAUUCGUCUUUCUUGCCUCCAGAGGCAUACAAAUAAAUGUUAAAUGUUCCGCUUUUUCAACAGCUACUUGCUAACUUUAACGUUGAGUGCUUAGCAUCUAGCUUCGUGGGUUUAGCAGAGCUUUUUCCUCCAGUAGGUUUCCUGGGCCCAACAGCCAUAAUGAUAACCUAAAAGAUGCUAAACUGUUUGGUAGAGCUCAGGUGUUUGAUAAUUCUGCGAGGGUUUGACAUUACGAGUAACGCCUUUUAUAUUACUCAUAGAGAUUAGAUCUGUUGUUGAUAAGAUAUUGAUUAGUACAACUUCAAACAUCACCUAAGCAUUUGUAUUUCAUGUCUGUGAUCCUGUAUGUGUUCCAUGUAGUCUAGAAAUGUCAUGUAAAGGCCCCUGAGAUUCAACAAGUCUCGGGUAUUUACGGCAAUACAGAUGCCAUAAAUUUACUGCAUCUGUAUUAUCGGGGGCUGUUCCCAGUGCACGCAGCACAUAUUUGUAUUUAUUCAUAGCAUGUACCCAGCAUUCUAUGCCACUACAAUCAAAGUGAGUGGUGUAGCUCCACCCAGAGGACCCAUCUCACCUCGUAAACAACAUCAAUGUAACGGAAACGAUAAAAAUAGCAUAAAGGUCGGGGUGUAACAUGCAUGUUUCCUCACUCAGUUUCCCACCCUCGCACUUGUCACUUAUUUUGAUGAGCUAUCUGCUACAACCUAAAGGUGUCCACCUCUAACUGGAGGCCGUAAAUCUGCAAGAAUUAGAAAAGAAAUGUGGUUUUGAACAAGUUGUGUCCACUGCUCGCGUGUUUCUCGCUGCUUACUCCUGUUGUUGCUGUGCCCUUUCUGUGCAUUAGAGCGACACAACAGCAGACGCCACACGCCCUCCGGACAAGGGUUUAAGUAGAUAAACAUGCGACUUAUAAUAUAGAACAGAUGCCAAUCAUUUGUUAUUUGAAUGUGUGAAUUGGUGCAUGUUGUAGUAUUAAGUAGCAGUAUUACAUUUUAUUUAUUUUAUGGUGGCAGUUCAACUCCUCGUUGGGGAAGCAGAACGAAUCGACAGCUAUACGUCUCCUCAGGAGACUCAAUUAUUUGAGUGCAAUGUAUUGCCUCACACAUCCGAUCAAUGCACAGAGGUUGAAUGUCACCUGGUGAAAUUGGUGAAAGUGAGCCCCGCAGGCCACGUGCACCAGCUAAUGAAAUUUUGAUGCAGCUUUAUUUAGAGCUAUAUUUUACAGGAUUACGUUCCAGGCUCCGUUUCCAACUUCAAAGGCGAGCUCUCACCACAGCUUGGGGGGGGUAGCGAGCCGAGCCGCUCCCCUCAAUAGGAAGCUUCCUAACAGUUUUGUGCUUUUUAAAUUUUUUUUCUCUCCACCCUUUCUUCCAUCAUUCAAAAGGCUCCCAAUGAACAGUUCUAAUCUGAGUCUUUAUUUUUCAUCCUUCUCCCACUUCGCUCGGUUAAUCCACGAAGUGAGAUAUGCAGUGGAUUUGUGUGUGGCUCUCUUGAUUUAGAUUAGUGCUUUCAUCAGUUGUGGCCAGAUGAGAGUUACUGGGGUGGGGGGGGUGUUAUAGAACUGCCAGCUCUCUCCAUUAAAAUGGUUCUAGACUGGUGACAGCUUAGCCCCAGAAUAAACACUGUUUCUGCAGCACGGAUGCAUUCAUAUCCUACGGCUGAUGUGAAGGCACGUCAGUGGUUGCAUCUGUCGGUUGUCACAAUGUGCCGAGUGCAUUUAAUGGGGCCGCACAACUAAUAGUCUCAAGAUCACAAUCUUGUGCGAUGUAUUUUGUGUUACCUUCCUGCUGUGUUCGCAGUAGCUGGGAGAUGCGUUGCAUCAAACCCAGCGCUCCCAAUUUCUUGCUCUAAGCUGCAUCAACAAAAUGACAGGUGUGAUGUGUGAGAGACAAGUUAGUAAAAUGCAGUGAAAGAAAAAAAAA